GUGAGGAAUAUUGGUCAAUGGGCGGAAGCCUGAACCAGCCAAGUCGCGUGAGGGAGUGAGGCCCUGCGGGUCGUAAACCUCUUUUGCCGGGGAGCAGUGCCGCCCAUGUAUGGGCGGAGGGAGAGUACCCGGAGAAAAAGCAUCGGCUAACUCCGUGCCAGCAGCCGCGGUAAUACGGAGGAUGCGAGCGUUAUCCGGAUUUAUUGGGUUUAAAGGGUGCGCAGGCGGCGCCCCAAGUCAGCGGUCAAAUCGAGGGGCUCAACCCCUUUCCGCCGUUGAAACUGGGGUGCUAGAGUGGGCGAGAAGUAGGCGGAACGCGUGGUGUAGCGGUGAAAUGCAUAGAUAUCACGCAGAACCCCGAUUGCGAAGGCAGCCUACCGGCGCUCUACUGACGCUCAUGCACGAAAGCGCGGGGAUCGAACAGG
rnacentral:rRNA from 1 species